GACCCUUCCAAUCCUCAAGCAUCCAUGAGCUCACCUACUCUCUUGGAUACAUCCCAAAGGGCUUCAGAGAAGAGGAACUUGGGGAAGGAAUGUACCUUCCAUAAGAGCUAUGUCACCACACAAGGGGAAAAUUGGGCCAGCACACACACUCACACACACACAAGGUAGAUGUGGCCCCAUUCUACAAUUAAGAUGAGAGGUUUCUGUCUUCGAGACCAUAGAGAGGUGCUGCCCUAUGAGAACACCAAGGCCCUGAGAGGCGAAGCCAUUUGCUUAAAGCUGCACAGCCAGAGAAUGGCAAAGCCAGAACUGGAAUUCAAACCUCCUGACUUCCAUCCCCAGUUUCCCUGCCACCGCCUCCUUAUUUACACAGGCUUUCAAAAUCAUUAGGGCACAGAAUUAGCUCAGCACUAAGCUUUCGAAAUCCACAUGAUCCCUCCCACUGGUCCUCCUGAGGACAAAAUCACUCAGGGAGAAAUAUGUAUUAAGUCUUUUGAAAUGGCAGAGAAGGGUGUUCCCUCAGAUAAGAGCUCCUAAGAACACUAGAGCUGAAAUACUGAUUGGAUCAGCAGAUCAUCUGGGCCCCACCUCUUGUGCAAUUUUUGUCUUUUUUGGUAUUCAGAUGGUCCAAGGGUCAGGCUUCUGAGCCGAUGUUCUCUGACAAAUGCAUUUCACAUGCCUGUGCAGCCCUGACCGAGGAGUGACAGUCCUGGAUCAGCCCUCCCCAGAGGUUCGGAGAAAUAGGUUAAUCCAGUCCGCAAUCAAAUCUAUUAGGAAGGGCCCCACCAAACAAGUCUGUGAAUUCCAAACAGCAGCUCCCUUCACACUGCCCUCCCCACGUAGGUCACUGGCCUGGCUGGAUGACAGAUACUGGAACCCCAGAAUGUCAGUGCUGGGCGGCGGCUCGGACAUGUUCUGAUGAAACUCCAUACCUCUCAGCUGUGGGAACUGAGGCCCAGGAAGAAGAAGGGACUUGUCCGAGGUCACACUGUGGUCUCAAAAGGUGCUAUGCUAAUUAUUAGAUGUGAAGUGGUGAACAAGGCGGGAUAGGCUUUGCCCACAAACAGCUCAGAGUGGAGGAGAUACCUAACAACUGAAAUCACAAGCAAACCAACAAAAACACAACACAAAUCAAAAAACAUCAGAUGUAUACCCUCAGCUCACAGCACAGAAGCUAAGAUGCCUUACAAACCCAGUAAACCUCUGCAGUGAAAUCUAAGAAGUUCCCGCAGAUACUGGAUGGACAGAGAAGACAACCAAUGCCAAGAAAUUAUUUCAAAUACUUUCCCAAGACCUUGCUUGCCCCGUGCCUGACAAUACCUAUGCAAGUCUCCUACCGCCUCUAGAUCCUGUGUUGAAGCAAUUUUGGCAUGGGAAGAUUGGCUCCGAUUUUAAAAAGAAUACUUCCUGAGAAACGAUAACGUACCAGAUUCUGUUCUGGGCGCUGUGAUGGCUACAAAAACACUAGGCCCACUGCUCGUAAGUUCCUGUAGCCCCUGCAUAAAAGUGAUCAAUAUGUUUGCUGAAUAAGGACAUGGCCCUAAAAGGAGAGAUGAGAAGACCAGCAUCUGUUGAACACCUGUCACAUACCAGGACCUUAUUAGGCACCUAGGUACAAAGGUGAGCAAGAUACAAUCCUGUAAAAAAAAACUGAGACCUGGUGGAGACAAGUCUGUUCACAAAAAAAUGUAAUAUCACUUGGUAAGUGCUGAGAGAAUGCUGUGUGUACGCAGCAGGGUGGUACUCAGCCCAGCCUGGGAUUUAGGGAAACCUUCCUAGAAGAAAUGAUGUCUGCACUGAGUCAUGAAAAAUAGGAAUGAGUUAGCAGAAAGGAUAUCCUAGACAACAACGAGAGGCAUGAAAAGGCAUGUAAUUUCCUGGGAACUGCAGGCAACUGGGCAUGACUAAAAUGUCAAGGAAAAGGUAGGAAGAGGCAGAGGAUGAGGCAGCAGACACAGUCAGGGCUGGGCACUGGAGGAAGCCACCAGGAUCCUGCUGCCCUGCUGCGUCUCCUUCAGGGUCUGUGUCUGCUGCAGGGAGUUCCUGGCCUGGCCUGAGUCCCCUACAGCCACUGAGGGAGGCAGUGCCCUGAGGACAUGGCCAUUUUGCCCCUCUGUGGGUGACACUGAAGGACAAUACUCACUCCUCACUGGGUUGUCUGGGGGUUUGUCGGGCCUGCUUCAACUUCUUCAUCUGUCCAGUUCUGUGUCCUCCCCAAUCCAUUCACAGGUAUUGAUUUGUAUAAACAUUUUUCACCCAAGCCCCAUCUUCAUAUCCACUUCCGUGCACCAGCCUUGGAUGCCAACCCAGGGGUUGGGAUGUGUUUUGUCACUAACAAUGUUCACUUAUUAUUCCUUUGCAACACAGGCACUCCAGAUGUGGUUUGCCUAGAUUCUAACAUUCUUCAGUAUAUAGUGGUUACCUAGGCCAUGGACUGGGAAUAAUUUCCAGGAAACUGGCUAUAACCAGUUAUACAGAAUAUUCUUCUACUCCUUUCCCACUUUUAGGUGAGAAUUUGUCUUCCUCAUUACCCAUAUCUCUAAGUGGAAGAAUUUCAUCUAGAAAACAUUUGUCACAUCUCUUCCAAUAGCCCUCCUCACAGGAGGAAGAGGGAGUUAUCCAACUAAUCAGUUUAGAAGAAGAGAUUUGAGGUUCCGGAUACCCUCUCUUCUCUCAGGAUGGCCUCCCAAAAGAAAUGAGACCACCAUUUGGUCUGUGCUGAGAGCCAUGCAGAAAGCUUAUUGGGGCCAACGCUGUCCCCUCCAGGAAGACAUUGGUGAACUUGCUUUCCAGGACUGGAUGGGGAACAUUUCCAAGCCCAUUCAGCCCAACAGCUAAGCAACAUCCCCCAAUCUAGGUUGAAUCAGCAAGAAUGAUGACAUUUUGAUCUUUGUUGAUCUGACUUCACUAUCUUACCUGACACUCAAUUUGUUCUGAACUUGGCCAGGGAAGAGACAUGUCAUUUUUCAGGGCCUCUGAAAUAACCUAACACUCGCAGUCCAAAUGCUUACCAUGUCUUAAUGCAUCAAUUUCUCAGUACUCAAGAAUGUCAGUAACUGCUAUUGCAUACAUAAAUGGUUGAAUAAAUUCAUAUUGCCCUAUCUAAAAGAUAUAUUCUCAUCAAUAAGAAUUAGGUCUAUAUAAUUCUAUGAAGGGCUUCACUCAAGCUCAUCAGGAACAACGGGCAGGAGCCAUGGGCACGAGACCAGGGACAGAGUGACUUAAAAACUGCUUUAAACUGCAUGAAAGAAUAUUGCCUUCACAGUAAGCCAGAACAUGUUUAUACAAGGGAGAAGCCAAUGAACUUAACCUUGGAGUAUUUUGCAUUAGGAAUGCAGCUGAACAUUUUGAGUGUGAGGACUACAAGACAUUUCUGAAAAGAUAAAAGGGUCCUUUCCUCUAUAAAAGACAAACAUCUUUCUUGGAUCAUAUACCAGAAGUUAAACAAAGUGGCAGUGUGUCAUGGUUUGAAGGGCCAUAGACCUUGUUCCUGACCUGAUUCACCAAUACCAACUGGCUAAACGACCGUGCUCCCAUCAUUUUAACAUUCUCAGCUUCAGUUUCCACAUCUGUCAAAUGGCUACAAUAACUUACAUGCUGUCACAAGGGGUCUUAGGAAAACCAAGCAUGAUGUAUCAUUAUAGAUCAUGCUAAGUGAUAUCAUUGACUGGUGCUGUGCCCUGAAAACAUUGCUAAGUACUUUUUUCAUACUUGAUCUUUCACCUUAUGCUGCUGAUACCAUUUUUCCUGCUUAACAGAUGAGAAAACUGAGGUGCCAAGAGUUUAAGUAAUUAUCCCAAGUUCUCACAACUAGUAAGGGUGAGCUAGAUCUUGAGCCCAGAUCCCUGUUUAUCUGACCCCAAGGCUGUGCUUUUAACCACUCCGCUCUAUGCCUUAUAUAAUAAAAACAAUAUUGUAGAGUGGGAGGAAUGCUGAGCAUGACAUAUAUUCCUAGCUCUGCCUCAAGUGAGUCAUUGACACUCUCUGGGAUGCCAUGUGUGGAAGAUAAAAUAAUGGCCUCCAAAGAUAUUCACACCCUGAUCUCUGGAGCCUAUAAAUAUGCUAUGAUAUACAUGCCAAAGCAGAAUUUAGUUUGUAGAUGGAUUAGGGCUGCUAGUCAGCUGACUUUAAGAUAGAGUAUCCUAGUUUAUCCCGGUAGGUCCACCUUAAUCAAAAGGGUCCUUAAAACCAGAGGAGGGCAGCAGAAGAGGACAUCACAGUGAUGUGAUAUGAGACAGACUCAUCCUGCAUUGUUCACUUUGAAAAUGGAAAAAGGGGCCAUGAGCCAAGGAAUGCAGGCAGCCUCUAGAAAGAAAGGCAGCCCUGCUAGCAUCUUGAUUUUAGUCCAAUGAGACCCAUAUUGGACUUCUGACAUACAGAGGUACAAGAUAAUAAAUUUGUGUUGCUUCAAGCCAUUAGUUUAUAGUAAUAUGUUGCAACAGUGAUAGAAAGCCAAUACACCAUGCACCUGUUUGUCAAAUGAAGGAAUUGGGGUUGAAGUUGAUUUCUACGGCUUUUGUACCUAUGACAUCCUUUGAGCCUGUACUCUUUACUAAUAAAUGGUUCCUUUUGAAGCAUGGGAAAGAGCAGAGAAAUAAAUGACAAGCAAUAUUUCCUAAAAUAUAAUGGGGCACACAGCCAGAAUCUCAGCCCAUGCCUACCUCCACCCAAACAAAAUGGCUUCUGCUACUCGAGACCUCUCUCCAGGCCCGGAGUCUGUAGCAGACUGGCAGGCUUUGAGCCUAACACCUUUUACUGUUGCAAAGCUGCCUUGUUCAUGCUGUUUGAUGUUGUCCAAAGUGGCUAGUUAUUUUUAAAAAUAUGAGAAAUGGAAAGAAACAUGAAGCACCAAGAGCAAGAGUCAGGGUUCUCUCUCUCUCUCUCUCUCUCUCUCUCUCUCUCUCGCUCUCGCUCUCGCUCUCGCUCUCUCUGUCUCAAACACACACACACAUGCACACGCACGCACACGCACAUGCACACGCACACAUGCGCUCUCUCUCUUUCACCCAACCUUAUCCCACAGCUGAUCCACAUUCUGGCUGUAUUCCAAAACACAUGAGCCUCUUCUGUCCAAAGCAUGGUCUCAUUUCAUAUUUUCAGGAGCCAUGAGAUACUUAGGGAAAAGGAAUCAGCCAGGUGUGAAGGCUGGUGGUGACAAGCAAAAGGUCAUCACCUAGGGACAACAGUAUUCAAUCAUCCUUUUUGUUGCUUCCCUCCCCCCACCCAACAUCUUGAGAUAGACACUAGAGGGUGGGGUAUAAGAAGAGAAACCGAGAAUGGAAGGUUCUAAGCACAAAAAGGGAGGAGCUAUGAGGUCAGCAUCCCUCCAGGCUGGACCUCCUGGAAAGCUCAGGCAGCAAUUCCUGGCAGCAGUGCGUGGUCUGAAGAUCUCUGCAGGGUGAUUUCUACAGCCUAUGUCACCGACUCUGACAGUGUAAUAGGAGGACAGUAAGACAGACCUUUCCGGCUGCCCAUUUUCACACCCCCUUUAUGAUUUUUGCAGUGAGCAUGUACCCUCUCUACCAUUCUUUAUCUUAAUUUUUUCUUUAAAUGACAUUUUGCUUUAAGAACUUUUUUCUUUAAAGGAAAUUUUAAUCAUUAUCUGUGAUUAAAAUGCCUAGUUUUAGAUUAGAUUCCUUCCCAGCGGCUCACCCUCUUUAGUCCUCUUGUCUCUCUAGGCAUUUGGGAGGAUAAUUUCCUGUACCUCCUGCCUCCUCCAUGAACUCUGUCUAGAGUUAAGUGGCACCUCAUGAUGAUUCUGGCUGGGAAGGAGAGAUGUGUGUCACUUCCCAGCCAGCCAGAGCAAUUAAUUACUACUGGGGAUCUUUCCAGUGCUGCUGCUUCUGACAAGGAGACUGCGUGUUCCAGGUGGAGAUGCUGGAUUCACCUUGACCCUGAAUUGCUAAGUCACCAGCUGAGAGCAGUUACUGUAGAGCUGUGGUUUUUCAAAGUGUGAUUCCCAAAUCAGCAGCAUCAGCAUUACCUGGAAACUUGUUACAGAUGCAAAUUCUCUGACCCCACCCAAGAGCUACUGAAUCAGGAACUCUGGGUGGGAAGGGGUAGCAAUCUGUGUUUGGGACAGAGGAUUCUGGUGAAAGCAAUGGCCUGGGUUUUCUAAGGCCUAUAGGGUUAUGUGGCCCCACAACAGACUUCGUAUGAGCAAGAAAAAAACUUUGUUGUAUUAAGCCAUUGAGAUAGUUAGAUUGUUUGUCACCAGGUUAUAACCUAGCUUAUCCUGACUGAUACACUAUCAGAAAUGAAAAACAAGUAUACUUUGCCAAAAAUAGAAGGUAACUGUAAAGUACAAACAUCAUCACAAUAGUUCUGUUGAAUUUGACAGUCAUCACCUGCUAAAGGCUUUCAGCCUGAGGUCUCCUCAAAUUUCGAUAAAAGAGGAGAUCAGCACAUUUUAAAAUGUGGUUGAGGAGAUGUUAGCAUUAACCUAAGACUUUUUCCUUGAAGAAGAACUGACUCAGAAUUGAAAAAGGAAUGCUGACUCCGCAAAUCAGUGCUAUUCAAUGACUCACCAUUUUACUGCCUGAAAUCAUCUCAGAUAUCACUAGUGUUAUUCGAGCUACCCUUUUGGGAAAAUUGAUCUGAUCAACCUCUUUGCCUUGUGUUUGUGGAAAGCUGUGGUCCAGAACUGUGAAUGUCCUUGUCCAUGGUUACACAGCAAAUUGGAAGUAGAACUCAGACAAGAACUCAGGUCUCCCACAAGCCCUUCUUUUCCCAACACCUGACAACCUUCAGUCUUUCAGCAGCCACACAACAUACAUCCCCAAUUCAGCUCAUGGUAUUACUGCAGGAACCCAGGCCCCUAACAUGAUACGGAGGGGGUUGCUGAAAGGAAUGUUCAGGCAUAGGAUCCUCAGAUCAGGAAACACAAAGGCAAAUCUAAAACCCACCCUGAUCUCAUUUGUGCAGAGAACCAUGGAAGUGGGUAAUUAAAGAAAACAUUAAGAAAAAGCUAGUAUAGUGAAGGAGAAACCAGGAGGCAGAGAAUGAAUUAGUUUCCUGUGGCUGCUGUAACAAAUUCCCAGAAACUUGGCGGCUUAUUCUCUUACCAUCUUAGAAAUCUGAAAUUACCACCACUUGGCCCAGUGAUGUUGGCAGGACCAGCUCAAGGGGAGAAACCCUUCCUUGCAUCUUCCAGCUUCUGGUGGCUGUGGGCAUUCCUUGACUGUGGCUGCUUCACUCCACUCUCUGCUUCUGUAAUCUCUAACUGCAUCUAUUUUUCAAGGAUCCUGGGAUAGCAUAUAAGGCCUGCCCAGACAAUCUAAAAUAACUUCCUAAUUCUCAAAUUCUUGGGAAUUUGAUGUCAGCAAAGACCAUUUUUCCAGAAAAGGUAACAUUUACAGGUUACAGAGACUAGGACAUGGCUAUCUUGGUGGGUGGGGUGGGAUGUGUGCAUUCUUCAGCCUACCAUGGAGACUCUAGUUCAAGGUCUACCGCCAACUCGGGCUGACCUCCUAGGCAACUCCAUUACCCUCUUUGAGCCCAGGUUUUCCUCUGGUAAAAUGAGAAGGUCUGCACCAGAUGAUGCCAGAGGGCUCUUCCAAGUUUGGCAGUAGGAGUUGUAGGUCUCAUCUAUGCCUCUAAAGGGCACAUAUAACCCAAAGUAAGAGGUUCUCAAGGAUUACUUCAUGGCAGACACUGGAGCAGAGCCCACAUCUUUUGGCUGGUAAUUCCUCGAUACACUCACCACCCUCCUCCUCUCCUUAUACCUGCCUCCACCCUCUCCUCCUUAUGCUGUCCACUCUCUGGUGGCCAGUGAAAAACUACUGUGACCAGCUUCAAGAGAUUUGAGAUGCCACAUCACAAUGAAGACUUCAGAGAACGUGCUGAAGUCUUGAAGUGUGCCAAGGAUCCCCAGUCCUCACCUUCUCCAAGGCCCUGGGCCAUUAUGAAAAUAAACGGAGAUCUUCUAAUUCAUAAAUCCUUUGGGGACAAAGAUAGGCUGAGACAAAAGGAACUGGUGAGACCUCCAGAGCCCCUAGAGUUGGGUUUUUGAAAAAAGUUUCUAAAGCCCUGUUUGACUCUUUCCUAGAACUGGAAUAGAGUAAUGUGAGCGCCCCCAGAGCCUUGACCUGUCUGGAUGACUGGCUGGGUGGAGGGUGAGAUAAGUGUAGAUGCCAAUCAUAUUAGCAAAAAUGAACACAUUUGUUAAUAUUGAGUGCUGGCAAAGGUUGGAAAAUGGGUACACCCAUUAAAUGCUGUGGGAAUGUACAUUUGUACAACCACUUUAAAGAGCAAUUUGGCAGCAUGUACUAAUAUUACAAGGUAUAUGAUCCUGUGAUUCAGUAAUCUCACUGCUGGCAUUGUCUGUGCUAGAAAAACACAAACAAUUGUACCAAGAUGUAUUCAUAAAGCUAUUUGUUGCCACAUUCCUGUCAAAUGCACUCCCUUCUCUGUUCAUUGCUGGGAACUAUAUUCCCAGGAUUUCUUGCCCUCUGGCUUCUGGGCAGAUUUGGCCAAUGGGAGGCAGUAGUGAAAAACUAGAGGGAGAAAAAGAGAAAUUAAGGUGUUUCUUCCCUUCUCUCCCAAGGCAUCUUUCACAGUCCUAGCUCCCACCACAGGGCCUGCUCUGACUUCUAUGCUCUGCCAACACCACUUCCUCCUAGGAGUGCCCUCCAGCUGUAGGAUGGUCACAUCUUCCUGUUGUUCCUCAUCUCUAAAUAGCCUCACCUUCCUACUUGGCUUCUCAAGCCUCUUAUCCCCUUGGUGACCAAUUCCCUGCAUUAAAUCCCCUCUGUUUGAAGUGCCUAAGGAGGUUUUCUGUUUUCCUGAUUAGAUCCUAACAUAUAACAGUGUUUGUUUCAGCAUUAUU